GACAAACUAGGCCAAGCUAAGACAAGUACAGUAAAAAAGGGGGUUAGAAACUGACAAUUAAACUUAGAAACAAAAUUCAAGUGUAAUUUCUAAAAACUAAAAGAUUAAGUUUUCUGUAGAGGUGGAAUUUGUACAGAAUAAAGAGUCUAUUUCUUUUUUAUUUUGAAGCCCCGAAAUCUUGUCUAAAAACCGGGAUUAGAUACCCCGCUAUUCAAGAUGUAAAUUUUAAUUUUAAUAUUUUACUUGAGCAUUACGGGCCCUAUAAAUUACUCUUAUGGAAUGCACCUAAAACUCAAAAAACUUGGCGGUGCCUUAAAUCCUUUCAGGGGAACCUGUCCUAUAAUCGAUAGUCCACGAUUUACCUUUCCUUUUUUUGAAAAACCAGCCUGUAUACCGUCGUCGCCAGAUUACCUCUAAGAGAAAAGAAGUUAUCAACAAGGGAAGUAUAAAAUAAACUGUGAUAGUUCAGUAGUCAAAGUUAUAAUCCCUAAACGUCAGAUCAAGGUGCAGCCAAUAUUAAGGAAGAGAUGGGUUACAAUAAAUAAUUAUUAAAUGAAUUUCUUUUUGCAAGAUAAAAGUUUGAAAGCGGACUUGAAAGUAAUUAAAGAGAAAUAGAAAGUCUCGGUGAACAUGGCCCUAAGGCGUGC
rnacentral:rRNA from 1 species